ACCCCUUGCUGGCCCACCCACACUUUAUACAUACUCUCCCUCUGCCCUGACCAGAACACAAACAUCAUGGGUGGCAAAGAAAGAACGAGAUCCAAUAGAACGUCCAGAAACUGGUCUGAUGAGGAAAUGAAAUCUGUAUUGACAUAAGAAGAGCUUGCCAACACCAAAUACCCUUCUCAAAGUCAGCCAUUCCUUUUUCAGCCCUUUGCUACAGGACUGAAGGGACUUGGGGAUCUGAUGUUUGAAGGGGAAGCACUCUUCCAUUCCAACCAUAAAAUGCAAGGAGCAUUGAGACAUUGAAAUGGUUUAUGAACACAUACUAUAGGAUGCAGCAAGAACCUCCUGACUUGAGUUCUAAUGCCACAGGUACCUGGAAAUGGCCUUUACAAGGGCCCAAUAUCUACAAAAUAAGAAAUCUCCAGUGCAUUUUGUCUGUGUGUCAGGAGCCACUUUCAUCAGGACAUAUUUAAUGAAAUUGCUUUGUGAAUGAAACUUUCUAUUAAAGUAGUCCUUUGCCUUUAAGCUUGAGAGCAGAACAACCAAGCAAAAAAAGAAAUAGUAAACUAGAGAAUAAAUAUAUAUCAUGGGCUUAAUUAUACUAAGAUUUGAGGCAUAUUAAAGAACAACCUUAUUACUUUGUAGUGAUUUAAAGACUUAUUGGAGCUCAGCAAUAGACUCAAGCAACUGUAAUUCCCAGCAAGUCUUCACCAUGGUCCACUGCCACACUGUUCCCCUUUAGAAGGAGGCUUCAUCAUCCUAGCCCAUGCAGCUGAAGGCCCCAGUCUCCACUGUACUCAAUAGAGAUGAAGCUUGCUAGAUUCCUGAGGCCCAGCUUAAAUUCACCAGCAAACUCUCCAGGCACCAUCUUGCCCUGUUGGUGAGAAAGGACUUGGGGCCCAUAGUAACCAACUCAGCCUAUGUGAUAGCACAGCCUCUGAGACAACACAAAAGACCAAGGAAUCAGAAGUGAGGAAUUACUAAAGUUCCUUGCAGCACCACAAGAAUACUUCUGCCAUACUAAGGACAGCAGCAGAAGAGGGGAUCCACAGGUGCUGUAGCUUCCAUUCAAACAAUACUCUUUCGAUCCGUGGUACUAAGAGGCAAGACAUCAAGCAGUGAAAGAGGUCACAGAGCUACCUAGCGGAGUUUUGUUUCAGUGAAGCAAAGUUUAGAACAAGUUUUUGACCCCAGAAAGAGGAAACAGAAGUCACGUACAUUUCCUCCUCUUUCACCAAAUGGCGUUCUAAACCCCUUCACAGGAAAGUUGAAGUAAGCAACAAGCACUUUACUUGCCACAGUUAAGGCCCAUGUAAUAAUGUAACCCCAUCUGGACCUGGAUCAUGGCAGGAAAAGCAAGACCAGUAGGAGAAUUUCUGGUAACAAAAAGUGAACAGACCUACAGUGACAUGGAAGAACACACUCAUACCCCAGGAGUCUGGGGUAUAGUUUGAAGCAAACACAAUAAGCUUCAUAUGUCCUGGAACCCUUUUUUCCAUCUAAACAACAUUCAAUACAAUUCCAUGUUUUAUUCAAUAGCAUGUUCACAUUAGCUCUUACAUAUAUAUAAAAGGUUUUAUAUAAAAAUAAUGAUUGCAAAGAGAAUUUUUAAGUCUAUAUUUUCAAGUAAAGUCAUCUUUCAGGGAAGAUGAUUCAUAUAUAUGUCUCACAAUUCCCCACUCCUUGGCCCAUGUCCCUGUAUGUAGGCAUAUUCAGGCCUCUGUUUGAGACUCAAAAGUAUAGUGAAGGGCCAGGAAGUCUAGUAGGAAGGCUCCAGAAAACUUCAUGGGGAAAAGCAAUGGUUGUGCCAGAAGGCAUGGGAUAGCUACCAAGAAGAUAAAGUUUGAAAAGAAGAAUUUCAGUCUGAGAGUUCUAGAAAGAGGAAGGCAAGUCCCUCAAAUUUCGAAUGAUAGGGUGCCAAGUGAGAUAUCAGGGAAGAAAGAGCCAUGAGAACCAAGGAACCAAACUGGGAGACUACUGUAUAUAUAGCCCCCAAUGUAUCACAUUUCCUGCUACUCACAUCCUCUGUAGCCCUUCCCCCUUGAAUCUGAGCUGCCCCUGUAAACUGGCAGAAAUGGUGCUGUCCUAGUUUCAAGAGGAGGCCUAAGCAAGGUCUGGCAGUUUCUGCUUUUGCACGCUAGUUAGAGUUAACCACAAUGUAGGAAAACUGACUUCUGUGAACCAGGGAAGGAAACCCAAACUGGUCACAUGCAAAGGCCACAUGGAGAAGAACCUAGGAAUCCUGCCAGCAGAAGUGCCCUUGGCUUACUAUCCCAACUGAGUAUCAAUUUGACAGCCAUGUUCUUGAGCCAUCUUGGAAGUUGGCACCACAUGGGACAGACUCACACUAUUCUUGUAAGUCACAGCCAAAUUAAAGAAUCAUGAACAAAUAGAUGAUUAUUGCUUGAGCCACUGAGUUUUGAGGAGAAUAGAUAAUAAACCUGUGAUAAAGCUUGGGCUUCACAGAGCUAUUUAUGAACUAGGGUGGAAGUGGGACCUUAAGAAGAUGUCUUGAUGCUUCCCAUGUUACUAACUUAAGGCUCCUAAAUCUCCCUGAAGGGUUCAGGAACAUAAACUAAACAGGCUUAAUGCUACCACCCAUUUCCAAAUUGUAAUGAAACACCCUGGGCUGGUGUUGUGACUCAGGGGUAGAGCGCUCACCUAGUAUAUGUGAGGCACUCACCUAGUAUAUCCUCAGCACCACAUAAAGUAAAAUAAAGACAUGUGUCCACCUAUAACCUAAAAUUUUUUUUAAAGUCCAGAUUUUUACAAACCUUACCUUAGUAAAAACAGAAAUCCACCAAAUCUAUGUACAUUAACUGGUAUGCAAUGCAAUAUGUAGCCUCUAUUCCUUUGAUGUUCAGAGCUUGCUAGGUCCCACCACAUUCCCCAUAUAUUUAUCUGUUUGGGGGUAUGCAGUAGCCAACACAGUGGGCACACAUGCAGGUACUUAUCCCAAUAGCAGAGACCAUGAUUUUCAGAUUGCUUGGAUUAAGUCAACCUCAGCACUGAUAACACUGGAAAAAGUACUAUGCAGAAAAUUUCAACUGGACACAGUGGUACAGGUACAUGGGCAAGACCCAAUGAUUUUCCCUUCUUACUAUAAAAUGUCCAUAUGGAGUUGCAGAUGAAACCACAGUUUUUAAGGUUCUAUUAUGGAAUAGGCUUUGGAGGAAAUCUGCAAAGAUCUAUCUAUCCUUCUACAUCCAAAGGCUUUUAAGUAUUGUCCAGGAGGUAGCACCCAUCCAGCUGAAUCUGUGGUAACUACUAAAACCAAGAAGAGCUUCAGCCACAGGAUGCCAUUUCUAUUUCCACAGAAACAGACAGACUUUGGGCAAAUUUUUAAAAAAUUUGCAGCUUACUUUGAGCCAAGUCUCACCGUCAGCUGAUACGCAUUUUAAAGCCCCUGUCGACAUGUGUCUGGAGAAGGGGUGGAUUAAUAAUAGCUUACAUUUCUAUAGUGCUUUUCAUCCCAAAGGAUCCCAAACAAGGGAAACAAGCUGUAUCUUUUCUCCCUGUUUAAAGGAAGAACCCUACUGAAUUUCAAAGCAAUCCUAAACACUAGAACUGAUUACAAAGAAAUUCACUUUUUUUAAGUGUCAGGACGUAAUUAUUAUUUUUUUAAAAACUUAAAUAGUAUCCACAUUGCUCCUGGGAGCUCACAAAGAGAUGCCACCAUCACCAUUCAGGAGGCUGUCAUCUCUUUCCAACAAAGACAACAGUUGCAGUGCCAGAAGAUUUAGAGACAUUAUGGGUGAAGAGAUAAAAAUAAUAAUAAUAAUUAACAAGUGCACAGGAAGCUCCAUCUGGAGCGUCUGAUAACACAAUGGGAGAUGGAUACAGAUGGGAAAAGGUGGGUGGCACAGGGUAGAGCUCGUCCUGAUCGCAUGGGUUUAGGACCCCAGCCACGCUCAGAUUUGUAGAGGCUUUGGUUCUUUCCACUCGAUGCUAUUCCAAUGGGAUGAGCCAGAUCAGAGACAGCAUGUUUCACCUGUGCCCAGGAGAGCUGGACUGUCUCUGGAUCACAGUAUUAUUCUGUCUGACAUCACGACAUGGUCAGGAAUCCAUUACAGUGUUUGAUAAUCCUAGAUUAAUAUAGCUUUUCAUUCUCUGAAGUACAGAUUCUUUCUUAUCUUUAACCCAAGUCAUUUGCAUAUACUUCCACAUAGUAAUUCCAGGCACAAUGCAGCUUAUUCUGAGCUUUUCCCCCUGAUUGGCAGCUAAUUAGAACUUGAGAUGUUGGCAGGUGUCGAGAUGAAAAGACAUCAUAAACCCAGCUACAGCACAGACAAUGGCUUUUUAAUCAUCUGUUUAAGUCACGCAGUUCCCAACUAUCUCGUGCUUUUAGGAUGAGUUGCUUCUUGAUCCUGGAGGACUGCUGAGCAAGGAGGACCUCUGCUGUUAAAAAAGAACCAACAUCUUUGGAAGGAUAGCAAAAGUGCACUUUAUAAAAAGGCAAAAUCAAAAAGAGCUACCAGAAUGAUACUUAAAAAGAAAACAGGAUUUAUUUUUUAUCAAUGUUUUCUCUCUACAGAGAUGCCAAAUUAGCAUGAGAUGGACAGACACAUCCCCACUCUCCCAUCUGCCAUUGCUAACAAAUAUGAUCUUAUGAUGAAUACACAGAAAAGUAAGCUGUUGAGAAGACAGAAUUAUCUAGUUUGGGAAAGAGAACAUACUAAUUGCAAUUGUGACUCUACAUAAUGUCAUCCCUUCCAUUUAGUGUCACAGUUUGAGAACUAGUGUACACCACUCCCUUGAUAUUCAUCAUAGAAAUUACAUUCUCCACAUGGGAGAGCAUAUGCAGGAGAGAAAUGUCCUCCACUGUGUCACUGGGAAGAAAAGGCUGUCAUCGUGACUUCUUUCACACACCCUUCUCCCACAGAAGGUUCUGUGAACUCCAAAGAUAUCUCCCCUCAAUUUGAUUUUUCCAAAAAAGGUCUUGAUUUCCCACAUAUUCACAGAGGAUUUAAUAUUUGCAUAGACUUGAGUGUGAUAUCGGGAUGCAAAAAUGAAAGGGUUUUUAAACUGCAAAAAUAGGAUAUGUGUGCAUUAGAACAAACACAACAUAAGAGAUGCCUUAAAGAACUAAGAACACACUGAAAAUACGCUUUCACUUAACAAAAUAAGAGGACCUGGAAGCCUGAACAAGUCAGGUGGAAGAGCAGGUACUUAAAAAUAGAUAAGAUUUGCGUAAACCAGAAGAAGAGAGUACUUCUAAGCUAGAGGAUGGAGGAUUUACUUGGACAAACACAUGAACAUAGGAAUACCAACACUUGUAUGAGGGGUUGAGAAUAAUUCAGGCUAGCCGAAGAGAUGGGAUCCUUCGGGAUCUGUUUCAACUGUGGUAGUGACAAAAGGUGAAGAAUCAUAGGUCAUAUCAUAUAUGGAUAUAUUCAAUAGUAUGCAGGAAGUGAAAGAGAAACAAGGUUUGAAAUUAUAGAAUAGAAGAUAGUCUGUGGAAAAUUCUUGUAGUCAUCAGAUAUAUAAAAUUAUAAGCACGGGAUCUCGUUCUGAUUGGAAAUUCUCUCCUAUCAACAUAUUCAAUUUUUAAUAAAUCAUAAAUUUUAGUCAUUUUUAAUUGUAACCAGAUGAAACAAAAUUUAUCAUAAUCCCUGUGUUUGUAAGACAUAAAUCUCUAAUGACACUAUGAUCAGUGAACAUAUCUACAUGUGAACUCAUAUGUUUUAUGUAUCCCAGUUUAUCAGACAUUUUAGCAUUUCUCAGUAUCUUACCCUGAUGAAAUUGGGUAGUUCUAGAUAAAAUGACACACCAAAUUGCCACCAACAUAAUAUAAAGAAUCUAUGUUCCUAUUACAGAAUAGCUACAUGUAUUUAUCAAGUCAAAAUGUGUAAUUUAUUAAUUUGAUUAUACAAUUAUGAAGAUUAUAAUGUCAACCAUUUUUAAAAACUUUAAUUUGCUGUAAUUAGUAUUGUUAGUUCGACAAGCAUUUAAAGUCAGUAUUCAUGAUAAAAUAUGUAUGUCAAAAACUUUAUAGCUUAUAUAUAAAUGUGAUAGAGGUUCCCCAAGUUUGCAUAACAUUACUAAUAGCAAAUUAUUUUUUUAAAUAAAAACAAGUAUUGAUCAGCAA